rnacentral:rRNA from 1 species
UGGGGAAUAUUGCACAAUGGGCGGAAGCCUGAUGCAGCAACGCCGCGUGCGGGAUGACGGCCUUCGGGUUGUAAACCGCUUUCGCCUGUGACGAAGCGUGAGUGACGGUAAUGGGUAAAGAAGCACCGGCUAACUACGUGCCAGCAGCCGCGGUGAUACGUAGGGUGCGAGCGUUGUCCGGAUUUAGUGGGCGUAAAGGGCUCGUAGGUGGUUGAUCGCGUCGGAAGUGUAAUCUUGGGGCUUAACCCUGAGCGUGCUUUCGAUACGGGUUGACUUGAGGAAGGUAGGGGAGAUUGGAAUUCCUGGUGGAGCAGUGGAAUGCGCAGAUAUCAGGAGGAACACCAGUGGCGAAGGCGGUUCUCUGGGCCUUUCCUGACGCUGAGGAGCGAAAGCGUGGGGAGCGAACAGG